AUUGAACGCUGGCGGCAGGCCUAACACAUGCAAGUCGAGCGAGCGGCGGACGGGUGUGUAAUGUAUGGGGACUGCCCGAUAGAGGGGGAUAACUACGGGAAACGGUGGCUAAUACCGCAUACUAUCGGAUAAGCCAGAUGGGAUUAGCUAGUAGGUGGGGUAAAGGCUAACAUAGGCGACGAUCACUAGCUGGUCUGAGAGGAUGAUCAGCCACACUGGGACGGAUACACGGCCCAGACUCCUCCGGAGGAAUCAGUGGGGAUUAUUGCACAAUGGGCGCAAGCCUGAUGCAGCCAUGCCGCGUGUAUGAAGAAGUCCUUAGGGUUGUAAAGUCCUUUCAGCGGGGAGGCGUUACCCGCAGAAGAAGCACCGGCUAACUCCGUGCCAGCCGCCGCGGUAAUUC
rnacentral:rRNA from 1 species